rnacentral:rRNA from 1 species
AUGUUGCUUUUUUUGAGUAACACUGGCAUGUUCCUUUUUUUAGACAACCUCACCAAGCAUUAUUCAGUCAUCAAAAGUAAAUCAGCUGUUGGUAUAGUUUCAUGGCACAACCUCCACAACAACACUUUUAUCUUCAUGUUCCAGAGUGAAGUCCAAGCCCUUUCCUCAUCAGUAGUGUUCGACUGCCCACACAACAGGCUAGACCCAGAGGCGCCACCCGUCUCCGCCUCUAAUGCAAACCGCUCGCAAUGCCCCGGCGGCUUCCCCCUCCGGAUCCAUCUCCGUCGCGUCCUCCUCCUCCUCCUCCUUUGGAUCCUUCUCCGGCGCUGUCUCGGGCCUGUUUGCAGGGACCGGACCGGUAAUGGCAGGCCACGAGCCGGACUGAGAGGACCGUCAGGACCGGCCAAGACAUGGGCAGAGCGCGCUCUGGAGCUCCGGCGAGAGCAGUUCAUCGGGGACGCAAUGCUAGAGGAAGCGCAGCUCGUUGAAAAGAUGUCUGGGAGCUUCAGAAGAACCAGAGGGAGCUACAUGACGAAGAAGAACACUGGAGGGAGCUCAUCAGCGACGAAUCUGGCACGAUGGCCGGUGAACGGAGAUAAAAGGGACGACGACCGAUGCGGUGAUGUAGGACCUCCCAGAUCGAUUUCGUUGGCGGGGACGACGGACCCGAGUGUGGCGCGUCUAAUGGACAUAGUUUCUGGGGCCAUCGAGUCCAGUGGCCGCGCGGACGACGGCCCCGUGGCGAUGGACGUAGACGACGGCGGUGAGGGCUUUCUGAAUAAUGUUGGGGCGGUCUCGGUGCUGCUAGAGACGCCAUCCGGCUUCCCCGUCUUCUGCUUCUGUGGGCUCUUCCUCUACGCACCAGAUGCACUGCAGAGCGUGUGGGCAAACUUCGCUACUUGUACUAAGGAAAGAAACGUGAGUCUUCAUUUUCCUUCCCUUCUCAUCGUCACUGCUUCUUAUCCCUUUCCUCCUUACGGAGAUGAUCAUGAAAUCACCCGAACCUGGGCAGGAGCUACUACUUGGAAACCGGAAUAUAAACCUAUAAUUGAAAAAAGCUUGGGAAUACCCUGUCGGCAUGAUGAAUUUGUGAUGGAGGUAAUGUGGGGAUUAAAGCGUCUCAUGCCUAGUUUGGUGCGUAGAGAAAAAUCAGAGCUGCCUAAAGAGGACCUGCUCCCUAUGAGUCAGGGGCUACAAAUGCUGUUGAGUCGUUAUGGCUUUGAUGUCAAACCAGAGAUGGUGAGCAGAUUUGGAUGCAAUAAUAUUUUGUAG